ensembl:lncRNA
CGGCCGGGCGCAGGCGGCUGCCAGUCGGCUGAGUGGGCGAGGCCGCGCGGCCCGGACGGCCCGAGCGGGAGGGAGCGCGCCGCCGGCCGGUGGCGGCUGUCUCCCGGCUCGGCCCAGGCCCGGCGGGCGCGGGCAGCGCCCCAAGCGUGUCUUCCCUGCUCCUUCCUCCCGCCUCUCGCGGCCCCUCCGCCCGCAGCGCCCGCCCUCGGCUCCGCCCGCCGCCGCCGCCGGCGCAGCCCCUCGCGGUAACGGUCGGUAGCGGCCCGCGCGCGCCGCCCGCCGGGGGCUCGCGCCAGCCACGAGGGAGCGUCCGCGGCCCGCGGCCCGCGCGGCGGAGGAGAGGUGAGCCCGCGUCCCCCGUGCCGGCGCAUCCGCGUCCCCGCGUGGCCCCGAUGGACGCCGCCGGGCGCCCCGUGGGCACGGCCCGUGGGCGUGCAGGGCGGGCCUCUCCUGCUGUCGCGGUCCCCGGGCGGGCGCGCGUGGGCGUGUCCCCUCCAUCCACGCGCGGCGGCUUCACCCUCUCGGCUCUCGUCCAGGAUGCUGGUUUCUGAAAUGGAGCCAUGGAGAUCUCAUCCUCCUUGUGGGAGAGACACACCACCACCCUAGGAAAGGCAACAGAUUGUUCCUGUCAUAUCGCUUUGCUGUUUUGGCGUGUACUUAAAGGAUUAUGAUUGAUAAGGCUGUCUUGCCAGAGAAUGUUGACACAGGUGGUAAGUGUGAUGCUUCUAUAAUACAUUUGGAUGUUUUCAGCUAAGUUCACUCUGGACUCUGGGGCUCCUCCAGAUGUUGGCUGAAAUUUGUCCUUGCCCCUCCCCAGGCUCCUGCACAAAACCUACAGUUCAUAAUGGAGCUACUGUACUGGCUGUGGAAGGAGGAGAUUCUGAAGAUAGGGAGAUUCAGCUAUCGGUCUUUGAAAUUUCCUGUGGUCUGUUCAUUCUAGAUGCAAAGGACAUGGAAAAAUCAAGUGCUCAAGUGGUUUAAAUAUGUUUGGAUGUUCCUAUUUAUAGACUACAGCAUUUUUCCAAUUAAAAUCCUCAGUUGUCAUGCAGAAGAAGGUUAUGUUUUUCUUGAUCACCACUUUUAUUUGAAAUGCUUAGUAUUGUAGAGUAUCACCAUUUUCUGUUUUAGUCAAAAGUAUAGAAAAAAUUAAAUCAAUUUUAUAUAUUGAAUUUUUUUCUAAAAUGUCUUUAUUGGAUUGAACGAAUGUUUAUACCUGAAAAAAAAGGGUUAAAAAAUGCCUUUCUCCAUCCUAGCAAUUCUUCUGGCAAUCUGAUAUUAUUAGAGUAGGUUUAAAAUCACCUUCUAACAUGACUCUGGUAUAUUCUUGGGAGAAAAAAGACUUGAAAGGCAUCUGUAUAUAUAUUUUAUUCUCCAUAUUAGUCUCCCUGGAAUAGAACAUUUUUUCCUGAGACAAAUCUAUUAGCUCAACUCAGAUACCAGAAAAAAUUGCCCUAACUGGCAGAGCAUUUGUUAUGUGUUUGAAUGUUUGAUUUACAUAAAGAAGGUUGACAUCCAUUUCUUUCACAGAGUUCUUACAUUUGGGUAGAAUAAUGACAGGUUGCCUUGCCAUUGGGAAAUUCCUUGUUGUGGCCUUUGUGGCAGCUGUAGGAACACGGAAGGACUCCUCUGUGGCAGGCAGGCCUCCGGCCUCUGUGGUGUGAACACUGAGAAAGGGGUCUGUCUGGCCGGAGAGAGCCCCUGGCGAGGGAGCUGGGCAGACUCACAGAUGCUGAUGACGCUUGUAGACGCUGCUGGGAGUUGCUGUUUUGUGAGUGACCCAGAUUGUACUUCAUCCACUUCUGUAGUUUUUACAAAGGGUCAAAGUGCUGUGAUGAAUUCUUAAGCUCAGAUCUCAAUGUGGCAAAAUAAAUUUAUUAGGCUAGAGUAUUUCUGUUUUUAUUUUUAAUUAAACUUUGUAUUUUGAGAGAAUUAUAGGUUUCACAUGCAGUUGUACUAAGGAAUGGAGAGGUCCCCCUGCACUUUACCCAGUUUCCCCCAACAGUAACAUCUUGCAAUAUCUAGUGUAAUAUUACAGCCUGGACGUUGACAUUGAUACAGUCCAGAUACAGAACAUUUCCAUCACCACAAGCACUCCUUGAAGUGCGUUUUUAAAUGCGUACUCCCUUCUCUCCUGCCCCCCCUCAUCCCCUCCCCACCUUAACCCUAGCAACUACUAGUCUGUGCUGCAUUUCUAUAAUUUGUCUCUUUAAGAAUGUUAUAUAAAUGAAAUCAUAUAGUUUGUAACCUUUUGGAAUUUUGCCUUUUCUCAGCAUAAUUUUCUGGAGAUUCGACUUGCCUGUAUGAAGAGUUUGUUCUUUCUCAGUGUUGGGUAGUAUUCCGUGGUCUGGUUGUCCCACGGUUCGUUUAACCGUUCACCAUUGGGGCUGUUGGGAG